CAGCAGCCGCGGUAAUACAGAGGGUGCAAGCGUUAAUCGGAAUUACUGGGCGUAAAGCGCGCGUAGGUGGUUUGUUAAGUUGGAUGUGAAAUCCCCGGGCUAAACCUGGGAACUGCAUCCAAAACUGGCAAGCUAGAGUAUGGUAGAGGGUGGUGGAAUUUCCUGUGUAGCGGUGAAAUGCGUAGAUAUAGGAAGGAACACCAGUGGCGAAGGCGACCACCUGGACUGAUACUGACACUGAGGUGCGAAAGCGUGGGGAGCAAACAGGAUUAGAGACCCCAGUAGUCCCUGUCUCUUAUAA
rnacentral:rRNA from 1 species